CCCGGCUUAGGAAGAUUUCCAGGCAAGGCAAGAAUCCUUGUUAGUCAUUAACUCUAAGUGAGAGCUAAGAAGGAAGACUUUAGAGAGAUUAUGGUGUGCAAGUGGCAGAAGGGGAAGAGGAAACAACAGGGGGAUGACUCUGUGUGAGUUAGGAGUAGCGAGAUCUAGGUAGUGACUAAUUCCACUUAGAAUGAGCAGAGAAAGCAUUGAGCCUGGGAAGAAAAUCAUAACUCAAUUCAACAGAAACCGCUUCCAUUGAGGCAGGAAGGUGCCAUUGAAUCUUCAGGAGUUGGAGUUGCAGUCAUUUGAGAGUCACCUUAUGUGAUUGUUGAGAUGUGAUCUCAGAUCAUCUGGAAGAGCAAAUGGAAGCUGCAGAAGAACAGGACCCCCACCCUGCUGUGAAGAGCUGUGUGCUCAGGAUUUGGAUGCAACAAAUGGCAGGAAUUAUUGCCCAACGAUUAUGUAAUAAAGGAAUAAGUUAAAGUGAUGGGUCUUAAUAAAAAAUAAUAAGAGAAUAAUAAUGGUAGAAUACUUUCUUUAAAAUGUUGCAAAUAUGAAAGAAAUUAACGUGAGAUUUUCACCACAAGCCUGACUAAAUAGAGAUUAACACUGAGACAGGGAAUGUAGCUUUCAAGGAAGGCCAGGAGCUCACUGGGCCCAAUGAGUUGUCUAUCUCAGUCACAGUGUGGUUACAUGGGUUUAUACUCACGCAAAAAUUCACAGAAUACUUGAGAUCAAUGAGCUUUCCUGUAUUUAAUUUUUAACUUAACUAUUUUCUUAAAAAAAAUAAAGACUUGAUCUAGUUUGUAUUAAAUUUCAAUAACUUUGUGAGUUGUAAGAAUAAAAAGACUUAUUCCAAAUUUGAUUGCCUAUUGAAUCUUAUUUUUGAAAUAUUACCUAAGGAUUAUUUUGAAUACAUGUUUGCACUAAAGUUAGAAAACAUGCCUUAUUAUAAAAUAAGAAUUAGUUGAUAUUGUGAAAAUUAUUGGAGAGGCAUGGUUUUUCCUUCCUGAGUAUAUGUAAUUGCUAAAUAAGACUUUUGUUCGUGGGGAUUAGAUAUUAAUUUGAAAUACUAUAUCAAUCCUCACGGCAAUAGUUAUUCUGCUGAGACACACUACCCCAGCUAUAUGAAACAUUUCCAGCUUUAUUGGAUUUGUACUUGCCUGUUCUUACUAUUUGGGUAUCAUGCUAAAUUACAUGAUCAAAUUAGCACCUAAUUUAAGUAGAGUUUCUAAAUAGGAAUCUAGUAUCUUGUAAUAUCUUAAUCAGGGACUGUAUGUUUUAUAAGGAGUAAUUAAGCCUUUUUGUGCUGCAGUGGUAGUAAUCUUAUUCCAUUAGAUCCUGAAAGUUUAGGAUUAAUUCAACAGUGUUAGAAGAAAUCUCAAUUCUGGCCAAGCAGGCUGCUAUUUCUGUGCAUAAUUUGAGAAGCUGGAUGCUCUCCAGUCUAGAAAUAUAUGCUGAUUGUUUAUAGCUUUCCAUACGAAUCUGUCUUCAGUGCUUGAAACAUCUGAGGAGGGAAAUUAAAAAUUCUCCUUGUACAUCAAGUACUGCUUCAUUACCAUCUUCUUGUUGUUUUUUUCUAGAAGAAAAUUUUUUUUGAUACAUUGAUGCCAUUUAUGUAUUUAUCCAUGUAUUCAAAGAAAUAGUUCCAAGGUCCAGGGGAUGCAAUGUAGCUCAGAGGUAGACAACUUGCCUAGUAUGUGAAAGAUUUUGGGUUCAAUUCCUAGCAUCCUGACAUGAGUUAGGCUGGCCUUUAGGGUAGGAAGACACAGAAACUAUGUUGCUACCUUGCCAAGAUAUUAGUAUAAAAUAGAAGGUCUUAAAAUUAGUUUUAUAUCAGAAUGCCUAUGGAUAAUUCAGGCCAGUUAAAGAAAGUUAGGGAAUAGGAAGUGACAUUUGCCUACAAUCUUAAGAUGGUGGUAAUAUAUUUUUCAUGGCUGGGCUUCUACUCAUCCACCAUGUUUCUGUCACAGGAGGCUAAACUUUUAGGUUGAAUAGGUCUCUUCAACUUUUUUAUAGGUUUUCUUUAGAAAGUCUUUGGUUAAUUUCAUACGUGAUUACAGUGUCUUAUCCACUCCUGUUUUUCCUUAUAACUUUUCUAAGAUUCUCCUACAUUCCUCUUCCAAUGUUGUCAUCCCUUCUUAUUCUUUCUUUUCUUCCUCUUUUCCUCUUCUCUUCUUCCUCUUCCUCCUCCUCUUCUUUUUCUUCAAACAAUAACCCCUGAGUCUAACUGAUGCUGCUUUUUUUUGUACACUGGUAUUGGGCAAAACCCACUGGAACAUGGGAAACUACCCCAGAAUACAAACUCUCCUGUUAAAAGUAGCUAUCAACUACCAGUACCUUCACAGUAAGCUGCAAGACCCUUUUUGCUCUGUGCUGAAAUAUUGACUAGCUUGGUUUUGCGUAGGUCUUAUGCCAACAACCACAUCUGCUAUGAGUUCAUGAGCACAAUUACCUUGUUAUGUUUAAAAGAUAUUAUUUUGCAGCAAUUAUUUCUGACAUUUGAUUCUUACAGUCUUCUCACCCCUACUUCUUCAGUGUUCCCUGAGCCUUGGAGGUGCGGGCAUGUGAUAGCCCAUUAAGUGGUUGAACAUUCUCUAAUCACUUAUACUCUGUAUUUUGACCAGUUGUGAUUCUCCCUAUAUAGGAACUUUCUUGAUGAAGGAUGAAAGUAGGAUAUAAGGAUAAUUAUUUAGAAGGUUUGAUACUAUCAUUUUCUUUACUAGUAAUAUGAGUAGAACCUAUAACCACCAAAGCCAUGGUUUUUUGUCCAGUUUUACAGUACCAGGAUACUCUCUUGUGGAAUGGGCCUAAUGUCCAGUUGGAAAGCUCUUGGCACUGCUCAUGGCAUUCACUCCACUCUUGCACAAACAGGCAUAUCUUGUUGGGCUAGUCAUUAUUGCACACGCAUAGGCACACACAUACACACACACACACACACACACACACACACACACAAACAUACACUCAUGCACACAUGCACACUUAGGCAAAGGAACUGAAUAUAUAUUUCUCCAAAGAAGAUAUGUAAGUGGCCAGCUAACCUAGCAAAGGUAUUUAAUAUCAUUAAUCAAUAUGGAAAUGCCAAUUAACAGUACAAUGAAUAUAAUUUCAUAUAAUUUACAGCUGGGUAAUAAUGCUGUUUGAUUUUCUUCCCCGGGAACUUCAGAACACCCUCUGGUACUGUGUGAGGUAGUCAUCAGGAUGUGUUUUUAUUUGAGCACCAGAUUUAUUUCUCCAUGUUUUGUGAUCAAAAUGUGUAGUCUCUUCAGCAGUAGGGUCUUACUAUCAUGUUC